ACACUUCUGAAAAAGGCACUGAAUUUGUGGAAUGACCCAUGAAAUGUACACAUACAGAUAGGUUUGCGGUUGGUUCAGCCAUCAUUCAUUUCCUCGAUGACUUUGGCAAUAAAAAUACAAAUUAAUAAAGACAAUGUCAUUAAUUAGUACAAGUUAUUUCAACUGUCUGGCAUUGGUUGUUUCAGUCCCAAGAGGACAGGUGCUCGUACAACUGUCUGGCAUUGGUUGUUUCAGUCCCAAGAGAACAGGUGCUCGUACAACUGUCUGGCAUUGGUAGUUUCAGUCCCAAGAGAACAGGUGCUCGUACAACUGUCUGGCAUUGGUAGUUUCAGUCCCAAGAGAACAGGUGCUCGUACAACUGUCUGGCAUUGGUAGUUUCAGUCCCAAGAGGACAGGUGCUCGUACAACACAUUUGUAUUAUCCAUGGUACACUAUUCCAUACCGGUUUGGCUGUACACUCCAUUUUUUUUUUUUUUUUGUGAAGUCCAGUUUGAUCCCACAUCCCAGUGACCUCUGACCUGUGUGUCCGUAGUUACAGUGUAGCGUAGACCAGAGCCUGUAGCAUUGUUUCCAUCAACUCUACUUUCUUGAACUGUAUUUUUGGUUACGGGCUCGUAUGUAAACAUUUCACGGUAAGGUCCACCACGCCUGUUGUAUUCAGCAUUUCACGGUAGGUCCACCACGCCUGUUGUAUUCAGCAUUUCACGUAAGGUCCACCACGCCUGUUGUAUUC